UAUUCCAAGUCACAGGCCCAGUUAAAGAUCUGCAAUGCUCUUGCAGAAUUAAGAUUCAGAGGUUUUUGUACAAGGAAUGGGGGAAAACUUUCAGGAACUGAUCGCUACAGAUGUUUGCCAUGUACGAGGCUAAGUCUCAAACCAACAGAAACUGGAGAGCAGCUCUGAGUUCUGCUGUCGUGAAAAAAAAUGAACCAUUGUUCCCACUCUGCUCUCCCUGCUGCUGAAGGUGGUGAGAGGCUGCGGGAACAAGAUCUCAACCCCAGAUGCCUCGGUUAGGUGCAUAGAAACAGUGGUGUUGCUAGUCUCCUGUGGCAUGGACCACUGCUGAGGAUUGAGGCAAUGCAGUGCAAGUUUGGUGCAGCAAAUCCAGCCAACAAAUGGUAAUCCUCCUCCUUGGAGACAGCACCAGGAGACUGCAAGUAAAAGCAGAAACAGGAGAAGGCUUGCUUCCUUUCAAACUGAAGAGGGAGCUGAACCUCAGUCUGCAUCUCCUUAGGUGAGUAAUCUAAAUAAUAAAUUUUGGUUAGCGGUUCA
rnacentral:lncRNA from 1 species